rnacentral:rRNA from 1 species
UUCCGGUUGAUCCUGCCGGAGAUUACCGCUAUUGGGAUUCGAUUAAGCCAUGCGAGUUUCUGACUUUUGUCAGAGCAAACGGCUGAGUAACACGUAGUUAACUUGCCCUUAAGUCAAUCAUACCCUUGGGAAACUGAGGAUAAUUAUUGAUAGAAGAUUAUUCCUGGAAUGGUUUUUCUUUUAAAGCUUCGGCGCUUAAGGAUAAGACUGCGGUGGAUUAGGCUGAUGUCAGGGUAAUUACCUGACAUACCUAUAAUCUAUAGGGGCUGUGAGAGCAGUGGCCCCCAGAUGGAUUCUGAGACACGAAUCCAGGCCCUAAGGGGCGCAGCAGGCGCGAAAACUCCGCAAUGCACGAAAGUGUGACGGGGGUAUCCCGAGUGCUGGCGUACUACGUCAGCUUUUUUAGAGUUUAAAUUGCUCUAAGAAUAAGUGAUGGGUAAGACCGUUGCCAGCCGCCGCGGUAAUAACGGCGUCACAAGUGGUAAUCACGCGUAUUGGGUCUAAAGCAUCCGUAGCCGGUCUAACAAGUCUUCUGUGAAAUCUCAUGGAAAACUAUGAGGCGUGCAGGAGAAACUGUUAGACUUGGAACUGGAAGGGGUUAGAGGUACUUCUGGGGUAGAGGUGGAAUUCUGUAAUCCCAGAGGGACCACCUGUGGCGAAGGCGUCUAACUAGGACGGGUUCGACGGUUAGGGAUGAAAGCUAGGGGAGCAAAGGGGAUUAGAUACCCCCGUAGUCCUAGCUGUAAACGAUGCCCGCUAGGUAUUGGGAGUUUUUCGUGAACUUUCAGUGCCGUAGGGAAGCCAUUAAGCGGGCCACCUGGGAAGUACGGUCGCAAGGCUGAAACUUAAAGGAAUUGGCGGGGGAGUACCACAACCGGUGGAGCCCCUGCGGUUUAAUUGGAUUCAACGCCGGA